rnacentral:tRNA from 1 species
UCCCUGGUAGUCUAGUGGCUAGGAUUCGGUGCUUUCACUGUGCUGGCCUAGGUUCGAUUCCCGGUCAGGGAA